GGAGCGUGGAAGACUCCAGAAUCCACUCUGGCUGGAAUCCGGUGGAUACAGCAGUGUUACAGAACAGUUCUCCACAGUCACUGUCCACAUGGGUCAGUGGGACCAAGCAGCACUCUGCUAAUGUCUGGACUCUGACCAGCAACAUCCAGCAAGACCCAGGCAGCGUUUUCUAUCUCCCAGCUGGAGUUUUUUGUUUGUCUGUGACUGGAGAGUCAGAUUUUUGUUGAAGCUGGAGGAACAGAGAGGUUAAUACACUUUACUGAUCCCUGAUGGGAGAAUCAUCACCUCUGCCAACAAAGAAGCCUGGUGGAUGUUUGUUUACAGUCUGAUGAUGGGACAUCAUGCUCUGCAUCUUCAAAGUUUGUCUCUUGAUUAUUAUUCAUACACAGUAAUGUGAAUUAUGCUUAUAUCGAGUAUAACUGGACCAACCUGGUGCUCUUCAUUUAUGGAGGCUGUUGAGUCUGAAUGUUGGAUGUUGUGUAUCUCGUGUUCUCUGGGCUUUGUUGUCCUCAGUCUUUUUGCAGGAUCAGAAAACAAAACCAGGAGGCCUGUAAAUGUUUCUUCUCCAAUUGGAUGAUGAUAAGACUGUGACACGGGAUGCCACCUUUAGUCUUGUGAUGAAGCAAAGCUCAGGAAGAAGUGUGAUUAAAUGGUACCCACAUGUGUGCUGCUGAGAAGGAUGUACAGGAGCACCUGCAGCCAAAUCCAAGCCUCCUCAGAGCAGAGCAGCAGUUUGUGCUCACAGAUGGUGACGGUGUGGAGAGACGGUGGUGUUUCCUCAGAAGAACUAGCAGAGUCACAAAGGGCACGAGUCCAUCUCACCACCUUGACUUGUUGAUCAGUGGACACACUUGUCUCCCCUUUAAAGAAGAUACUCUUAGAGAGAGACGAUCCGAGUCAUCCUUAAAUAUGGGCAGGAUAUCACUAUUGGACUGUCUAACCUGCAGGAGCAGCACUGAAUGAUCACCACACAUGAUCAGUUCCUGCAACAUUCAGCAGCUCUGCUUUUGUGUCAAAUGUCGAACAGCUGGAGAGGAAACUACGCCAGUGUACUGGGAUGUUUCACCAACACGUGCCAGACGCUGUUCCUUCAUGGUGACAUCACCAGAGACAGCCCUGCCCACCUCAGGACCUCGCCAUUGAUCAUGAUGAUUAUAAUGAUGACAGCGAGUGGAACUAAGACUGUAAAAAUCAGAAUGUUUAGAUGUUUUCUAAUUAUUCAUGAAUACUGAGAGCCUCUUUCUGUGUUUUGUCUGUUUUGUUUUUUUUUACCUCAUUUGUUACUAACAAAGUUCAACAAACUCACACAGUUUACAUUCUGUAUGUUUCCAUCUUUACCAGCCACAGUCUAACUGCAAUUAAGAAAAUAAUCCUUAGAAAUUGUCGUUUUUCUCUUUUGUAAUUUUGUAAUUCAGUGAAUAUACUGCGCUGCUUCCUUUAAUUGCGUCUCACAUUGCUUUAAGUUUUUCCAGUGUCCAGUUAUUUUUUACUGUUGUUUGAAUUCUCUGCAUGUUUGACCCUGUAGACUGUUUAAUGGACUGCUUGUCUUCCUGUUUGUAACCGCCGCCUGUUUUUGACUAAAGAUUUGGAUUUCUGACUUUAACAC